rnacentral:rRNA from 1 species
GACAGAGGGUGCAAACGUUGCUCGGAAUUACUGGGCGUAAAGGGCGUGUAGGCGGGAAGGCAAGUCGGGCGUGAAAGCCCCAGGCUCAACCUGGGAACUGCACUCGAAACUGCCUUUCUUGAGUGCCGGAGAGGAAAGCGGAAUUCCUGGUGUAGAGGUGAAAUUCGUAGAUAUCAGGAGGAACACCAGUGGCGAAGGCGGCUUUCUGGACGGUAACUGACGCUGAGACGCGGAAAGCGUGGGGAGCAAACAGG